GGGGGGGGUAACCAACUAUGUGUUAUUACAAAAGCCUCCUCUCCUGACUGAAUAAGGACCUGCAAGCUGAAUGUGUUCCUCAGACAGAAUGCUUUGUUUAUAACAGGGGAAUGAAUGGAGGCAGGCAGAAAGAAGCUCUGUUCCUACUGCCAUGUGAUCUUACACACUGUGUGGAGACUCUAUGGCAGAAUUAUGGUGGAUAUCAGGAGGAGGUGGAGAGGAAAGGUAGGGAUAUCAGGAGGAGGUUGAAAGGAAAGGUGGUGAUAUCAGGAGGAGGUUGAAAGGAAAGGUGGUGAUAUCAGGAGGAGGUUGAAAGGAAAGGUGGUGAUAUCAGGAGGAGGUUGAAAGGAAAGGUGGUGAUAUCAGGAGG
ensembl:lncRNA